GUGAAUCAUCAAAUCUUUGAACGCAAAUUGCACUCUCCGGUUUUCCGGGAGAGUAUGCCGGUCUGGGGGUCUGUUUAAAAAAUAAUCGAGGCUGCUGCUGGGGUGGCGGUUCGGAAUUGUGUCAUCUUCCACCCGUCGGGGUUGUAAGCGACCUAAACUUUUUCUUACGAUUUCUACGAACGUUGCUAAGAAUUUCUUGUACGUUCGCGAC
rnacentral:misc_RNA from 1 species